UCAGAGUUUUCAUCGUAGGUGAGAAAUCUGGCCCAGAGUUGACCACCCAGAGACCACAAGGCCCAAUGAGAAGGGACCACCCAAAUACUGAUUUUCCACUACAUUCAAAUCAGAGGUUCCAGAUGUGCUUGGUAUGUAGUCUUCCUGAUGUUGUCAGCUACCGAGAUCAAUAGCCAAGGACAAUUUCUUCUCCCCAGAAGAACAACUUUCUGGAGCAGGACUCUCAUGCUGAACUCUCCUUGGCACUUCGUGGUGAGACAGUAAAAAGAGGGGAGAGAAGAAAGCACGCUGUGGCAAUGCCAUGAAAGCAGUGAAAGGGAGAUAAAUUCAAAUAAUUCAGAAACUAUACUCCCUCAAAUUUCACUAGAUUCUUCCCCUUUGUUUGAUAGAGUUAAGUUUUCUUCCAAAAAAAAUGAAAACCCCUCCUCUAGUGCAGUAUCAGGCUGAUUCACUACUGCUGGCCUAAGUUGUUUGAGACCCGAGAACGGCCUCGCUGAGGAGAGUGCUAUGAACACACUACACCAUCAGUGGUAGCCAUUGACUUCUUUUUCUUGCGAAGGGGCUGUGUUGUUUUCCCCCCGCGGCGGCGUGUGACUUGACCCAGCUACUGAGAAACCCUUUGGAGAGGCAGACUUCCGCCCGGCCCAUUAAUUUUUGUCUCGUAACAUGGCAUGGUUGACCUUUCGGGUGUUGUUUGUAGCGGAGGUAGCUCCUCUACGGACCAUUUGGCAUUUCAAGCCUGCAGGAAUUUGGAGAGGUGCCUAACAACCACAGCAGGCGCACGAGCUGUUUUGCAAGCCUCCAGCCACCUCUGCAGCUAGCGUAAGCUUAAUAGGGCCGCUCUCCUCUUCUUUCUGUGUAGUUGGCAGGGAUGCACAGGGAUGUCUGUUUUAGAGGGGACUUAGCAAUGCUUUGCCUAAUUUUGCUGCCUCUGUAAUUUUUCUGUAAAGAAAGAGCCCUUUCCUUGUGCAUUUAUACAAUACUGCAUUUCUUUACCUUAGUCUCCUCAGAGCAAAGACGUGCCUUUCACAAUCAUAGCCCUAGACCGCUUCUUCCAGAAACUGCUGCAUUUUGUGCUCUAUAUGAAGCUGUGACAAAACCAAUUUAUAGGUCAAAGAUGACAGGAAAUAGAAUAAAAUACAGAGCUCUGAGACUUGGCAGGAGGCAAGAAAGGUUAAAUGCUGGUGCCCUAUAGCAGCUGUAGUGUAAGUUGACAACUGUUUCUGAAUAAACAACUGCUGGUUCAGUCCCGAGACACGGUCGCGGUGUCUCAUGUGGAGACUUCCACCGCGGUGCUCUGGGUGCUCCCGUUCCCGGCCCACAGUGCUAGGGCUGCUGGUGUGACACUUGCUCCUUUGUACACCUUUCUAUUUUCUUUCAAAUGGCUUCUAAAUAUAGAGAAAUGAUGUCUGCUGGGAAGAAAGAAAGAAAGAGCAAGGUAGUAAUAUAUUUUGCAGUUCUCUGAUUGGGAGAACAUGCCUCUGGUCAUAUAUUUGUGCAUCAGAGAGACAGAAAAAAAUCUCUGCCCUGCUGACUGUUUAAAAAGCAAAAAUGAACGAGUGUGCAUUAUGUGUAUAUAACCAGGGUGACUUGGGACUCAGCCCACAAACGAACCUGAGACAAACUACAAGCCAAUGAUGGCAAAACUUUACGAGUUCAGCAGUUUGUGUCAGUCCAGAUAUGUGCCUAAAGGUAUGACAAUGAGCAGAUCUUUUCUGAACCUGCGUGUUUAGGCUACAAAUCUUUCAGGAUGGGCUGUUUUCUUUCACUGUGUGUGAGAUACUUGCUGGUAAGUGCCUCAAUAAAUAGUAGUGCAGCAGGAGACGACAUGCAUCAAAACCUGAGCUAUACUGAGCCUUCUGAAUCUGUGGCACCAUGGUAAUUCUUCACACAACUAGAGAGGGGGAAAAGUGGAAAUUUGAAUUUGAAAUAAUUUAAGAAAAAAGAAUAUGUGCAUAGGAACUAUAAAGCUCAUUUGCUGUGUGCUAUUCUAAGCUUAAAAAGAAAGUGCUUAUAUAUAUAUAUAUAUAUAUAUAUAUAUAUAUAAAACGUAUUAUAAUAAUGUAACAGGCUGUUCUCUAGCAGUUUCUUGGCAUAUCAUUGGUGCUACAAGAAGGCUCUUUUUAUGUUUGGCUGGCUUUUUAAACAGGCUAGUCACAAGACUUUAAAUCAGACUCAGAGCGCAGUUGCAAGAAUAUACCUUUUUGCUUCUCAGCAUACUCAAUAGAAAUAAAAUUUUUUCACUUCAUGUCAGAAUGACUCUACUUCUGAGGAUAUAAAGCCAUGUAUAGGUUCUACAGUGUCUUAGAGUUAAAACACUGUCUUAAAGUAUAAAUUAAAGCAACACAGAAAAGUAUGUUUUUAUCUAUAGCAACCUCUACAGCUUACUAUGAAAGAGAGAAACACCAGAUCAUACCAAAGGACAUAUAAUAGCCCUCUCCCUCGUUCCGAUGCCUUAUUCUCUUCUGUGCUGAUCUGUUAAAAUAUAUGUGCUCCUUGCAAUACUGUAUAUUUCUACAAGCUCUUAAGCUAUACAUCUUAUAUUGUCAGAUGUUAGGUUGUUCUGUCACUGCCCAUCCAGGGUCAUAAUGUAUGGGGAGCCAAGGUUAUGUAUAGCAGUCUUCUUCUUAGCUUGCAUCACAUGAGGAAUAACUUGUGCUUGAAGGACUAUUUUGACACAGUCCUGGUCCACUAUGCUGUCAGUUUAGGGUACCUGGGCUUAGAGAUAAAACAUACCACUUUGUCUAGAUCUAACCUAAAAAAAAAUUCACAUUUCAGUCAAGGUGUUAGACAUGAAAGUGUAUGAAGCAUUGAAGCAUAUCUGAAACUAUGUUCAUUAGAAAUUAUCUGAGCGAGGUGCUUGCUAGGUUACCAAAAAAAAAAAAAAAACAACCCUUGAACACAAUACAUAAUCUUGAUGCAGCCGGCAACUGCCGAUGCUAAAGUGUAUUGCUAGUAUGCCUUAAACAAUUAAACUUGUCACACCUUUGGCUAUGAAGAUUUAAAAAUGUUCUUCACUUUGCAUAUAUAUGUAUAUAAAAACUGUGCUCUUUUUAUGAGGGUCCCCUGCUCACACACACAUUUUUCACUAAUUUUUAGCCUGAUAAAAUUAGCCUUAAUUCUGAGUCAGAGCUGCUGUUUUUUUCCUGUUUUAUCUUGCUUGUACCAGGGUCUGUUGUUUGGAUUAAUUUCCCACCUAUUACUUCGCAAUUCAAUUGCUUCUGAAUUAUACCAUCAGCAACACCUGUGCAUAAAUUUAUAGUGUUUUAACUCCAAAAGAGACCAUCAGAGUAGCUGUAACGUGUGGGUAACUAGACUUUUUUGAUUCAAAUUCAGGCAGCUAUAGGGAUACGGCACGUCAGCGAAAGCUUUCCUCCCCAAGGAAAGAGGCCUUCCAGCGGCAGAAAGGGGCUGCGCAGCCAGGAGCCCGGCUUCACCAGUGCCCCCAGAAUUGCCCUUCCACAGGGUUUAGACACACUUGCUGCAGGUAUCAAUUAUAAUUAUUUUAGCUAAAUAGCCUAUCUGGAGAGUGCAAUUGUUUGUGUGAAAGUCCUUUUACCCUGUAACCAACUUGUCUGUCAAUUUUUUUGAAAUGCUGAACAGUUCAAGCUCUUUAAAUAGAUAUAAGGCUUUUUCUUCAUCCUUUGAUUCAUUUUUUUAUGACUCUAUGCAUUAUUUCUGUUUUUUCAGUAUAUCUUUUCUAAAAAUGUGGGCAUCAAAAAAAAUUCCUAACAUCUUGACAUCUUAAUAUCAUACACAGAGGUAAAAAAUCAUUCUCUUCCUUCCAUUUCCUCUACCUAUUAAUACAGCAAAAGACUGCACUGGCUUUUUUUUUUUUUUUUUUUUUUUUUUUUUUUUUUGAGCUAUAACAUUGCAAAGGAAUCGUUUAUGUUGCGGGGACUUCCCCCAGCCACUCUGAAUUUCUUUUUAUUUUACAUGGGGCUUUACAUUUAUUCAUAAUAAAACACUUUUUGUUUGAAUUAGUCUGGCUUACUAAACGAAUCACAGUGCCCUGCCUUCUCCUGUCAGAAGAAACAUUCUUAGACAACUGCAAAUGUUUGUGCCAGAUCAUCCCAUCUUGUAACCUCCUAAAUACUGGCAUGCCACAAGCACUUUUCUAUGACCAGAGCCAUUACUUCCAAAAGCUCCUAUUGACUGGAAUAUAUUAAACAAACUUUCAAAUGAGGCUUAGUUUUCUUUGCCUGAUAGCACAGAAAUAAAAAUUACAAAAAGCCUGGGUGUUUCUCAGCAUUUUUAAUACUAUCAUACCUCAUUAGGUUAUAAGUCAAAUGCAAUAUGCCUCAAAGGAGUAAUGCGAACACUACUUUUUUCUGUGGGAAACUGACACUAUCCAGAACAUGACAGAAAGUGUAAUUGCUAGGUGAAAGUUUACCAGGUAGCGCCUGAUUUAAGUGCGGUUUUACACUUAACGAACCAGCUAGUAUUUAAGAUUUUAUCCAUGAUGUUUGGUAUGCUAUCAAAGGUAGUGGCAAAUGCAUUCACCUCCCUGAAAGCAUUCUAUUUCACUUGUGAAAGAAUGUAUUUGUCUCGAAAGCUUACGUUGUCUGAACAUCAAAAAAAAAGAAAUCAAUACCCAUUUUAGUACAGUUGCUCUCUUUUUCCUUCUAUAGACUUCAUGAGCUUCAUCGCUGAAGAACACUGCUUGUGGACAAAUUUCAAAUCCUUACGCUACCUGACUUGUGUCUUUUUUUCGGUUUUUCACACUUAAGUGUUAUGUUAAAGUCACAUAAUAAACCAUCUUUUUUUUUUCUUGUUUAAAUGAGAUGGUUUUCUUUAGUUCUAGUUCUCUUGCAUUUUUGAGUGAUUGUUUCACUGACUCUUUUCUCUCAAGUUCAUUGGCCUUUCUGGGGAAUAGGAGAGGAGGGGGGAGGUCCACAUGCUUCUUCCCUUGACCUCUGAAGCUCUCUGCUACAGAAUUUAGUAUAAAGGCACCAGCAGCUGUCAUCUUCCUCCAGAAAAGCAUUAUAUGGAAGUGAUGAAAUAUUUUGUUAUUUAUUUAUUCUUUUUAGAAAGGCAGCUUCCUAGAAGACACUCAUUCUACUUCCAAGGGGGUAACAUACGUAAUUCUUCAUGAUCUUUUUCUGAUGGAGUCAGAUGGUCUCUUUGAUAGAUUAUUUGAAGAAAAUCUGUGUAUAGCCAGUUUACAAUCCCCUGCAGCUUUGUGAUGAAAAAGCUGAAAGGGCUCUGUCUCAGGAGACCAUGGCCAGUUAUUCAUUUUCCGUUGUGCCUUUCACUAUUUUGAAGCCUUAAUCAAUAAUAUAAAACUGUAUAUUUGCUUUCUGGUUUUCUGUGGCUCUGUUACACUGUGAUUAAGCUAAUGAUUUUAAAUAAAUUGAAGACUACUUGAC